UCGUUUGAUCUUUUACUCGUGGAAUCUUUUUUAUCAUCCUGGUUUUGCUCGAGGACUUACAGUAUCGUGUACACGUUCGAGUAUGCGUAUCAAACUUAUCGAGACCAAUUUUUCACGAUGACUACGGUAACCUAUAACUUCGUAUAUGGUUUGUUGAAACUUGAAGGAAGAAGCGAUUGUAAAGGAACAUGUUGGACUACUCUUAUCAUGGAAUCUAACAUAAUGGUUUGGUAACUAUGAUUCGUUGAAAUUUGAAAGAAGAAGCGGUUGAAAAGGAACAUGUUGGACUACUCUUAUCAUGGAAUCUAGCCAGAGUAACAUAAUGGUUUGGACUGUGAUUCGUUGAAAUUUGAAAGAAAAAGCGAUUGUAAAGGAACAUGUUGGACUACUCUUAUUAUGGAAUCGUGGAAUCGUAUAUGGAAUGGACUGUAGGCGUCAGUGAUAUGUGUUAAACUGUACAUGAAUCUUUUAGAGAUGGCUUUCCAAUAGCGACUACGGUAACGUAAUAACUUGCACUGUAAUUUAUCGAAGUCUGAAAGACGAAGUUAUCAAAAAUGAAUAUUUUAACGGUCGAUAAUCGAACGUGAAAAUAAAUUCAACGUCAUUUGUAAGUGGCAAAUUUUUACUAGUUUUUCUUUAGUAUCUUUGUGCUGCUGAUCGGAUGAUUUUAAAAAGUUUAAUUAUUUAUUUAUUCCUGUUCCGUUUACUAUUCUACAAGGGACUUUAGUACAAUUUCUAUCACAGUGUAUACUGUACAAUGAUAAGCAAGUUCUCGUUAACAUUUUUAACAUGGACAUGAACAUUUAUCGCGUUAUUAUUCUUGACGUAACUGUUUCGCCCCCAAGGACGUGUAAAAUAUGGAGGAAAGUUGUCGAAGAGAAAGAAAAUAAAGCGGAAUAAAGUAAAAGUUAAGUAUAUGUACACUGUGGUGUCGUAUUAUUGUAACGAAGGAUUCUCAGAGAGUUAGGGAAAAUCGUGAAAGCGGCACAGUGGACGAAGCUGACGAAAAAAACGUAAAAAUACUGCGACAUGGACGAGGAAGAAAUGUUCUUGGGACAGAAAUGGGGGAAUCCCUCGGAAAGCCUCGACUUACCGAGAAACAUCAUUUCUGUAUAAAAACACCAAUUUUAGACGAGGACAAUUGGAUUUCAGAACUAAAGCCACGGAAAUCAAAUCUGUUGGCUCGCCCAGUGUUCCUAAAGUCCCCUGUAGAAUAUUAAACGGAACGGAAAUAAAUAAAUAAUCAAAUUUAAAAAAUUCUCUGAUAACCGGCACAAAGACGCUAAAGAAAAUGUAGAUCAAAAUUUGCCAGUUGCAGAUGACGUUGAAUUUAUUUUCACGUUCGAUCAUCGAUCGUUAAAGGUUAAAGUUAAAAAAUGUCUAUUCAUUCGUUGACCUGUUUGUAAGGCUAGAUCCAUUGGAUAUGGAAAACAGAUUACUUUGAGAGUGUAAAGAAGGACGAUAAUUAUUUUCUACGCUAAAAAGAAAAAGAGUAAUCUAUUUUCUAAUUGAUUUAUACAGAUCCUUCGUUUCGUUCUAAAUGUCCCUACGAUAUUCUAACAAAAUUGUCGAAUCGUAAUAAAAAUUCUCUCGCUCUCUUUAAAUUCUAAAUCGCUAGACAUUUAUUGCAGGAAGUUCGUUGCGAAACGUGAAUUUAAGUUUCGAAGAACGUGGUAUAAAGGUUGAAAUAUUUCAAGCUCGAACUAUCCAGUUCAGAGUCGAUGACUUUCCGCUGGCGAAUAAAUCGAGAAAAAGAUUGGAAAUUAUAGACAGACUAUCGAUUAUUGCCGAAAAUAAUCGAAGGCCAAGAAUACGGAAGAUAAUAUUUCAAGCCGGACGCUAAAUCAACCUUCUACGUUUGUUCGUCGCUUUCUGUAAAUGGGAAAAGUAAAGGAAAUGAAUAAACGAGCUUCGUACGAGAAAACGUGACGAGCGGACGCCAAGAUAAACGUAAAUGAUCACUCGAUAGCUUGCGAGGAACGAGCAGGAUGUAUAAAAACAUGGAAUUUCUUGAAAAAACGUUUGAUCCAACAAUCAGUAACUCGAUAUGUAUAGAUAUAUUUGAAGAAACACUUGAUAACACGAAAUAAUUUAUACUUUGUUUCAACUCGAGUCCAAUCUGCUCAUAAAUUAGAAUAAUAAAUCGCAAGAAUAAAUCUUCAUAAAUCGGAAUAUAGUAUUUCUUAAUAGUCAUUCCGUACUUUGUGUUUGCAAUAUUUCGCAAAACUAAUUUCCAUUUUUCUUAUUGUGCAACAGUUAAUUCCGGUCAUUGAUUUAUCGAUCUUCUUCGUUUCCAAAAAUUCGAAGAAAUUUAAUCCAAAGUAUAAUUAUUGCCGCCAUAAUUUGGAAUUAAAUCACCGAUCCAACACGAUCUAUUCUGCCGACUAUAUUUGGAAUAUUUCACAGAAUUGAUUUUCAUUCUUCAACGGUUGUACAACGGUUAACUCUGAUCGAUAUCUGAUUCUCGUUUCUAAAAAUUCUAAGAAAUUCGUACGAUAAAUUGCCGUAAUUUAUUCAUUCCACAGACAUUAUAACGUCAGAAUUAAUUCCAAAGAACAAUUACUUUAUAAUUGGAAAUUAAACCAGCAAUUUAACGUAGCCUGUUAUAGUCUUCGCUGACACACCUUUUACUUUCUCGCUUUAUUCCCCUUUUUCUAACUUUCCUAACUUUUCCUCGCGCGUCUCAUAUUUUGCUACAUUUGUCUCCUCGUCCCAACUUUCUCUUCUUCCUUUCGCUCUCUUAGAAUCUUUUUAUUUACACACGAUAAAUAUUUCGUUCUCUCCAUUUACGAAUUACGGCUGGCCGCGAACGUUAAUCGGUGAGUUCUGCUGCGUCGACUUAAGCGGAAAUGACACUCGAGAAACAGAA